rnacentral:sRNA from 1 species
GCCGCCUACGGACGCCAGAGCCGGGAACCCUGACAGCACUUGGCUGCUGACAAACAACCUGCUCCGUGGAGCGCCUGAAACACCAGUCUUUGGGGCCAGUGCCUCAGUUUCAAUCCAGGUAACCUUUAAAUGAAACUUGCCUAAAAUCUUAGGUCAUACACAGAAGAGACUCCAAUCGACAAGAAGCUGGAAAAGAAUGAUGUUGUCCUUAAACAACCUACAGAAUAUCAUCUAUAACCCGGUAACUGAUUUCUAUAAGAUAACUUUUUACCUAUGCCAGGACAGAUCCAAUAGAAUAUUAAUUAUCCAUGGGGAGACAGGGCAAGAAUAAAAGCCAGUGAACAUAUUUAAAGCACCUACUAUGUAAUAGAGAUGGUGGUGGGUGUUGCCUAUGAAACAGCUCUUGUCCUCUAGUGGGGGAAGAAGUCACAAUGAUAAUAUGACGUGAUGAAACAGUGUUAUGAACAGGGAACGUCUGGGCAGAGUGGAGGGAAUGCCAACUUUUGGUGAUGGGAGGAGGCUCAGCUAAUCAUAAAUUGUAGUUUUUAAAGGAAAAUGGAU